rnacentral:rRNA from 1 species
UACGUAGGGUGCAAGCGUUGUCCGGAAUUAUUGGGCGUAAAGAGCUCGUAGGCGGUUUGUCGCGUCUGCCGUGAAAGUCCGGGGCUCAACUCCGGAUCUGCGGUGGGUACGGGCAGACUAGAGUGAUGUAGGGGAGACUGGAAUUCCUGGCGUAGCGGUGAAAUGCGCAGAUAUCAGGAGGAACACCGAUGGCGAAGGCAGGUCUCUGGGCAUUAACUGACGCUGAGGAGCGAAAGCAUGGGGAGCGAACAGG